AGCACAACCCAAGUCUCCUGCCAGAUCAUGGCUUUUAAUUUAAGUGUACAGUUACUGCUCAAAAGUGAUUCACAAGCCUUUAAAGAGCCACUCUCCUUUAGAAGUCUGUUUAGAAUGCAGAGGGUUUGAAGAUUAGUGUUGGGAGUGAGAGCAUUUGACUGCCUAAGUGUUCAAUCUCCCAGGUACUUAGAUAUUUCUCAGCAAGAACUGAUGUUCAUUAAACUGUAAGCAAAUUAGAGUUCAAGCCAAAGAUAUAAAGGAAGACAUAAUUAGUGUACGGGAGUCAUCCACC
rnacentral:lncRNA from 1 species